CCUACGGUGUACAGCAGUGGGGAAUAUUGCACAAUGGGCGACAGCCUGAUGCAGCAACGCCGCGUGAGUGAUGAAUGCCUUCGGGUCGUAAAGCUCUGUCCUCAAGGAAGUUAAUGACGGUACUUGCGGAGGAAGCCCCGGCUAACUACGUGCCAGCAGCCGCGGUAAUACGUCGGGGGCUAGCGUUAUCCGGAUUUACUGGGCGUAAAGGGUGCGUAGGUGGUUUCUUAAGUCAGAGGUGAAAGGCUACGGCUCAACCGUAGUAAGCCUUUGAAACUGGGGAACUUGAGUGCAGGAGAGGAGAGUGGAAUUCCUAGUGUAGCGGUGAAAUGCGGAGAUAUUAGGAGGAACACCAGUUGCGAAGGCGGCUCUCUUGACUGUAACUGACACUGAGGCACGAAAGCGUGGGGAGCAAACAGGAUUAGAUACCCGAGUAGUC
rnacentral:rRNA from 1 species